UCCAAACCAACAAAUCCUACCAAGGAUAGAUCACACAUUUGGGGAAGGGUGAGGGGAAACACUAGAAAUUUUCUAAAAAAGGAAACUUGGAUUCGGAGGCAGCAAGCUCUAAACUGAGUCUGUACAAAUGGUGAUCUGGGGUACACCCUGCUGCCGCCGCCUAUCUUUUAACAGAUAUGUCCCUUCAGUUCUCUACUUUGAGCCUUAUUCACUGUGUGUCCCCUCCAUAGAAUACAUAGCUUGGCUUAUAUAGGUUUAUCUGUACUGAACAUGUACUGUAUCUUCCAUGAUAUAAGACAAUACACUGAUAAGGAUCACACUUGGUGUCUCUCUAGGAUAGCUCUAAGAAACCAGGAGAAAGCCGGGGCUCACAUUAAAUGGUGUAAAAAUGCCAGGACUUCUGUGGUAGAAUAUGGUAUAAGAGACAUGGCUCAAAAGAAGUGGGCUAGGUGUCAUGGAUGCCUAGCACUCAGUAGUAGGACUAGAGGGCUGGAAAUUAAAUGAUAGCUUGGCCUACAUACUGAGAUUCUAUCUCAAAACAAGAAAUAAAAGUAGGUUUAUCUAUCAGUUAGCAUUGUCAAUUUAACACAGCUUAGCCGUCUGAAAAGAGAUUCUUUUUCACUUGAGGGAUUGUCUAGGUUAGAUUGGCCUGUGGAGGAUUGUCUCGAUUGUUAAUGGGUGCAGGAGAGCCUGGCCCACUAUGGGCAGCAACAUUCCCUAGGCAGGUGGUCUGGGUUGUAUAGGAAAACUAAGCACAAACCUGUAUCUUACCAGGGAUUGCUCACUAGCCAGUCUAGCCGACAUAGUGAGUCCUAGAAUCAGUCAGAGACUGUCUCAAAAAAAUACAGCGAAGAGAAAAAGAGUAAAAGAACCAUAUUGACCUGUGGCUCACACACACACACACACACACACACACACACACACACACACACUUAACUAUAGCAUGUUGGUCAAAGGGAUCAGAAAACUAAAUGAAGAGAUAAUCACAGCGGUAAGGAUGUCUUUGAGGUUCUCUAUUGGAACAUAAUCAUUUGGUGGCUUUCUGACUUCACAUUCCAUUCCCUCACAUGCUGUUCUAGUUUCCUUCCUGUUGCUGAGCAAGCAGCAUCGGGGAGGGAAGGGAUUACAUGGCUCACGCUUCAGGUCACAGUCCAUCACUGAGGGAUGUCAGGGAGUAUGGAGCAGAAACCAUGGAAGAAUGCUACUUGCUUUCCUCACUCCUGUGUCCUAGCAUCUAGACCCAACUGUCCUUCCCAUCCAUCCCCAGUCUGUACAGUCCGGCUCAGCACUCUAGUAUCUCUAGGGUGGUUGUGAGUCCCCAUGUGGCAGUUGAGCUGUCCUGGAAAGGGCCCAACCGGAACAACCAGGCGCCAAAGGUUCAGCUCAUGUGGAGUUGGCUCCUGGGCAAGUCCAUAAGAGUUGCCAGCUGAAGAGAAAAACCACAAAAUGGUUUGCCCUGAAGCCUUUUCUGAUGUGUGGUCAAGAGUGCGCUGCAGCCUUUCUCCGCCCCUACUACCCUCCCCAUCCCCUGAAUAAACUCUAUUCUAUACUAAGAAAAACAAAA